UGCCACACAAGGCUGUUAAAAAAAAAAUUAUAGAGACAGGGUCUCAUCACUAUGUUGCCCAGGCUGCACUUAAACUCCUGGCCUCAAGCGAUCUUCCCACCUCAGCCUCCCAAAGCGCUGGGAUUAUAGACAUGAGCUACUGUGCCUGACCUUUAACUACGCAUAAGGUUUUAACUGAAAUGUAUAACAUUUGUCAAUAGAAAGAGGUACUGAUAAAAAUGUGUAGUUGGCCAGUCAUUCUUCUGCAGACUUUCCAAUGAUAACAUAUAGUCAAUGUCUUUUUGCUUACUUAUAAAGUGAACUACGUAUGUUUUCAUUCAUAUGUAAAAUCUUCUUGACCCUUCAUAGUAUGUAUGCUCUGUCUUUCCUAACCACACCCAGUUAUUCUCAUUUUUUCAUUCAUUCAUUUAGCAAGCAUUGAUUGAGUACUUUGUGUGUCAGAAAUUAUGACAGGCACCUGUUAGGUAUUAGAUUUUGUUUAAAUGCAAAAUCAAACAAAACUUGGAAUAAGAAAAAUAUUCCUCAACCAGGUUUGAGAGAUCCCUAUUUAAAAAUUAUUCCAGGAUAGGGGCUAAAGUCCACAUAUUGUAGAUGAAACCUUUGGUAAUAUAUGUGUUCCACACCCAGCUUAAAUAAUACUCUUGGCCUUCAUUCACAGAACAAAAUAUUCAGCUGGAUGUUUGUCACAAUUCUAAUAUCCCUGCAAAGAUGAGAUGCAUGAAUCACACAGCAAUCUCAUCAAAAAGAUGGGAUCCCCAACUGUGUGGAUCCUGGUAAGAAGAGCCCCCACCCCUCCCUGGAAUCCAGGACACUGGCAUCUAACUCACUCCAGGCCAACUGGAGGGCCCUACCUGUGUCUUCAAAGCUUGAUUAAAUGAUACAUUGCAAGGCCAAUUUAGGAUUUCUUGAAAGAGGUUGCCAGUCCUGGGCAGCCACUUUCAAAGCUCAGCUCCUUUCUACUUGUUUUCAACUGGCGCCCUAACCAGAGGGGCAGACAUUGCCCAGUGAAUUGUCAAAGGCACCUACUCUACACAGUUCUUAGUGUAGCCACCUCCCAGACGUCCUGCACUGAUUACCUGCAGUGGGUGGCAUUAUCAUCAGAAAGCCAGGGAAGGAUGCUUUUGGAAUUCACUUUCUAUUUCAAUGCAAGAAUCCUCUGAUUUUCAUGUAUGCUGAAUGGAUUUUUUUCUAGUGGCAAUUAUUGCUCCAAUGGUUGGCAUUUUCCAUUCACGUGGCUUAAAUUCAGUGAUAUUACAAUCUCUGAAUAACUUGAAAAGUCUCAGCUUGGCUUAUAUGAUUCCCCACCCCCUUUGGAAAAGUUUCGCACAAUAGGUUUCUAAUUAUACAAGUGCCCAUUGAAGAAUUAAUGAAACACAAUAGCCUCCUACCAAAUGAGGCUGUUAUGAGUUAACUCUAAAUACUAUUCAAAUGCUUCUACCAGGAAUACUUCUGUUCUGAAUCUUCCCAUCCAGUCCUUUUUAAAAAAAAGUCCAGUUCAAAAUUCAGUCCUUCUAGAUUAAUGCUGAAAGAGCAUAAUGUUUUUGUAAAAAUCAAUUUAGCACUAGGCUAUAUACCUGUUCAAUCUCUUGCAAGCUAUGUGAUUUUUAGUCAAGUUGCUCAACUUUUCUGAGAAUCAAUUUCUCAGCUAUAUAUAUAUAUAUAAAGUCUUAAAUACAUUUUUGUGAGAAUUAAGUAAGAUAGUGUAUAUAAAGUACUUGGUAUUUGGGAGGUAUACAUUAAGUGUUAAAUCCAUUGUACUUGUAGUAUUUGAACUUUGUUUUCUGUAUUUGACUCUAUGUAUUCACAUAACUUAUGCACUUUAUUUAUAUUGAGCUGAUUUGUUGUUGUUUAUAUUUUAUUAUGG
rnacentral:lncRNA from 1 species